GGACACUGAUAAUGACCUGGUUAACUGGUGGGAGAUGAACUGAUGGCAGAAUAUGGUGCUUCCGAUGAGACGAGAUUGGAUUGUGGUUGCAGACCGUGUUAAAUCCCGUAAUAACAAGAGUUGGAAACUUGAAAAGAAAGUUUACUUACAAAAUGAUGUCCAAGUGACGUGGGAGAUGCUUAGAACAGAUACAGAGUUGGUGUUAACUGCUUGAGCAAUAUAUAUGUAUUAAUGAAAGUUUUCUGGUAUAAAGUUUUGCCAGAUUAAGAUGUCAUAUGGCGAUCAAGGUUGGUUCUGCUGGAUAAGGACCGCAGAGCCCUCCAGGGCUUCAAAGACCUAAGAGGAACUUGAAUGUAACAGUUAGGCAUGCAUUAAUAACAGAUAAAUAUUAACAAAUGCGGGUUACUAUGUUAGAUAUGUAAAAUUAGUGAAAUGAAGUCUCUCUGUUGACAAGGAUGGU